rnacentral:rRNA from 1 species
CGGCGAAGNGACAGGGAAAAGCCCAGCACCGAAGCCUGUGGCCAUUUGGUUACUAGGCAAUGUGGUGUUUAGGUCGUUCCGCAGAGGUUCUGCUCCACCCUAAGUCCAUCAAUGAGUAUGGUAGUAUGGACGCGGCCCAUAGAGGGUGAAAGGCCCGUGGGGGUGGAGACUCGUUUGGACAGAGCCUCUCUGGUUAGACCUUGGAGUCGGGUUGUUUGUGAAUGCAGCCCAAAGUGGGUGGUAAACUCCAUCCAAGGCUAAAUACUUGCACGAGUCCGAUAGCGAACAAGUACCGUGAGGGAAAGUUGAAAAGUACUUUGAAGAGAGAGUAAACAGUGCGUGAAACCGCUCAGAGGUAAACGGGUGGCGUUGAACUGCAAGCUUUGAGAAUUCAGCUGAUGAGUGUGGUUGAGCUUGGUCAAAUUGGUGAACUCCGGGGUCUGCGUAGUAGCAGGUCUUUGCCUUCGGGUGAGGAUGCGCGGUGCACUUAUCAAGUGUUGUGCGCUCUGGUUGUUCUUCGGCCUGCUCGUCAGUGCACUUUCUCUUAGUGGUCACCACGACCGGCACCGCUGUCUGGCUGCUUCGGUUAAACCGGUUUUGCAUAGCUCGCAAGGUUGUGCAGAAUUUGGGAGGGCAGGUAGCUCGUUGACUUGCUUGUGGCUUGCUGCAAGCGUUCGGUUUUCGAGUGUUAUUAGCUGACCGGAGUAGUUCUGUGCAGUGUGUCGGAGACGGCGGCUUGUGGUGCGUGCAUGCGUGCCUGUCUGCUGACUUGUCCGAGUUUGGUUAUUAUGUUGCCUGUUCAAGCAGGCCUGGUGAUAGCUCGGAUUCGUUCGGUGGGCGGUUGCGUGUGUUGCACUUUUAAGGGCCAAUAGUCUGUGGUGUAGUGGUAGACUUCCACCCGACCCGUCUUGAAACACGGACCAAGGAGAGUAACAUGUACGCGAGUCAUUGGGCGUUACGAAACCCACAGGCGCAGUGAAAGUAAAGGUCUGACUUGUUCAGGCUGAGGUGAGAUCCUGUCGUUUCUCACGCGCGGUACUACCAAGCAUCGAGCGGCAGGCGCAUCACCGGCCCGUCCCAUGGCAGUUGUUUUCGGACAGUUCUCGGCCGGGGCGGAGCAUGAGCGUACAUGUUGAGACCCGAAAGAUGGUGAACUAUGCUUGCGCAGGUUGAAGCCAGAGGAAACUCUGGUGGAGGACCGCAGCGAUUCUGACGUGCAAAUCGAUCGUCAAACGUGAGUAUA